GUCGAGAAUCUUUCACAAUGGGGGCAACCCUGAUGGAGCGACGCCGCGUGGAGGAUAAGGUCUUCGGAUUGUAAACUCCUGUCAUGCGUGAACAAGGUUGCUUGGUUAAUACCUGGGCAAAUUGAUGGUAACGCAAGAGGAAGAGACGGCUAACUCUGUGCCAGCAGCCGCGGUAAUACAGAGGUCUCAAGCGUUGUUCGGAAUCACUGGGCGUAAAGGGUGCGUAGGUGGCGUGGUAAGUCAGAUGUGAAAUCCCGGGGCUCAACCUCGGAACUGCAUCCGAUACUGCCAUGCUAGAGUACUGGAGAGGUGACUAGAAUUCUCGGUGUAGCAGUGAAAUGCGUAGAUAUCGAGAGGAAUACCAAAGGCGUAGGCAGGUCACUGGACAGUUACUGACACUGAGGCACGAAGGCCAGGGGAGCGAACGGGAUUAGAUACCCGUGUAGUCC
rnacentral:rRNA from 1 species